rnacentral:rRNA from 1 species
AUGGCUCAGAUUGAACGCUGGCGGCAUGCCUUACACAUGCAAGUCGAGCGGCAGCGCGGGGGCAACCCUGGCGGCGAGCGGCGAACGGGUGAGUAAUGCAUCGGAACGUGUCCUCUUGUGGGGGAUAACCAGUCGAAAGACUGGCUAAUACCGCAUGAGAUCGAGAGAUGAAAGCAGGGGACCGCAAGGCCUUGCGCGAGAGGAGCGGCCGAUGCCGGAUUAGCUAGUUGGUGGGGUAAAAGCCUACCAAGGCGACGAUCCGUAGCUGGUCUGAGAGGACGACCAGCCACACUGGGACUGAGACACGGCCCAGACUCCUACGGGAGGCAGCAGUGGGGAAUUUUGGACAAUGGGGGCAACCCUGAUCCAGCCAUGCCGCGUGUGUGAAGAAGGCCUUCGGGUUGUAAAGCACUUUCGGACGGAACGAAAUCGCGCGGAUCAAUAACCCGCGUGGAUGACGGUACCGUAAGAAGAAGCACCGGCUAACUACGUGCCAGCAGCCGCGGUAAUACGUAGGGUGCGAGCGUUAAUCGGAAUUACUGGGCGUAAAGUGUGCGCAGGCGGCUUGGCAAGUCGAGUGUGAAAUCCCCGGGCUUAACUUGGGAAUUGCGCUCGAAACUACCUGGCUUGAGUGUGGCAGAGGAAGGUGGAAUUCCACGUGUAGCGGUGAAAUGCGUAGAGAUGUGGAGGAACACCGAUGGCGAAGGCAGCCUUCUGGGCCAACACUGACGCUCAUGCAC